rnacentral:rRNA from 1 species
UACGGAGGGUGCGAGCGUUGUCCAGAAUCACUGGGCGUAAAGGGCGCGUAGGUGGCUCGGCAAGCGUGCGGUGAAAGUUCGGGGCUCAACCCCGAAUCUGCCGUGCGAACUGCCAGGCUUGAGCACUGUAGAGGCAGAUGGAAUUCCGGGUGUAGCGGUGGAAUGCGCAGAUAUCAGGAGGAACACCGAUGGCGAAGGCAGUUCUCUGGGCCGUAACUGACGCUGAGGAGCGAAAGCGUGGGGAGCGAACAGG